GCUGUUGAAGGCCGAGAAAGGUGAGCGCCUUGGCCUUGUCACAGAUAUUUUUCUUUUUCAUCAAUUAUUUUUCAAUUCAACAAUGCUUAGUUCAACGAUCUAGUUUAGGAGUCAGUCGUUGCCAUAGAUUCAAUUCAACGAUGUUUUUUUUUCUUCUCUUCUCACUCCGAGAGUGAGUGAGCUCAUCACUUCCUCAACUAUGCUGUUUUUCUUCUCACCUACAGACUGAUGACUAAGACUCAUUCCUGUCAAAUGUCUUGACUAUAUAUUUAUUAUUCUUUCAUGUUCAUUUACUUUAUUGUAGUCACUAUUUAGUAUUUACAUGUCCUGAAACAGUUUUGGUCUAGGAUACAUUUCGGUCAUCUGAUCGAUCUCUAUGCAAAUCGGACCAAUUUUAGUCAGAAAAUAGGAUCAUUUAGCAAGAAUCAAGAACCAGAUUGCGAUAUUGCAAGCACCAAGAAUCUGUUGAGAGCAUUUUUACAGCUUGUGUACAGAUCCAAAGUUCCAGGUGAGCCUUUCAUGGUCAGCUCGGUCUAGGAUACAUGUGGAUUCAGUCAUGGCCUUUCACGUUGUGUAUAGCUAGUCUCCUGAAUUCACUUCUUUAGUUAAGAUAUUCCUGUAGGACGACCACCAAGGCUAGGCAUUAGUCCAUGAUUUUCACAUUGUGUACAACCUGUGACCUCAGUUCUAAAUCUAGUACAAAGACUUAUUGCAUUUAUUGUUAUAUCAAAUUGCUUAGAACACUUCCUCAUCUCGUGUAAUGAAACUGCAUGAUUCAGUCGGUACAAGCAAUGCUCUCAACAUUUAACUGAAUUGAAUGUUAAAUUAACAGACUAUGUGGCCCAAGAAGACGACAACGACUUCUUCAUUGAAAUGGAGCUGUGAAAUCUGCCUGGUGGAAGCACCCACCGAGUGCCACUUACAACAACAUUUUGCAUGGCAUCCAGUAUUCUUGCUUCAUAAAGUUGCAGAAAACUCAGCACUUAUUCUAGUUUUUGGUAGUUUAUUUGGAGGCGCACUCCUUUGGCACUUUGGGUCCGUCCUUUUUAUUGUCAUGCCAGGAAGCAAUUUAUUUUAUCCUUCCUAUUGCAGUACUCAAAAACUGUGUUGAGUACUCUAUUAAUAUUGUGUGAUAACAAGAACACAUGUUGGUGGUUUGCUCUAUUAUCUCAUAAUUAUUG
rnacentral:lncRNA from 1 species